GGCUGGGAGCGUUCGGAAAGCGGCCUGAGCGCGGUGGCCGAACUCUGGCAGGGUGUUCCGCUCGGCUGCAGCUCCGCGCUCUCUCCACCCUCGGGAGAGCUAACACCGCCAGUCGGACUGCCGAGCCACUUCCCGCUGCGGUUUCUCUAGCCUCAGUCUGCCAGAUUUUUGUAGACCUUACAUAAAUAUUCCAGUUUGUGAAGCCAUCAUGUAUGUAACAUAUUGGAGAAUAUUAUUUUCAGAUACUCAAAACUCCCCGACUCCUUCCCAUUGCUGAGCACAACUGAGGCAGGGGCAUCCCAGAAAUCGCCUCUGCUGUUUCUGAGAAGGCACCCUGGCAAUCAGCACAGGAAGAUGCCGGAAGGACGCUCCAUAUCUGCUUUCUGACUGAGAGUGAACAAUGAACUGCCAGAUCUGAUCCACACCAUCACCUACCUGAGCUUUCAUUCCCAUCUUGUGCAGCUUCCGGCCCUUGAUAAAUCCUUUCAUUCCAUUCUCCACCAGGAAGAGGCUAAUGCCAUGGGCAGGCGAUCGAGCUUCACGAUUGGUUAUGGCGACUACAAUCACAAGGUCACUUAACCAGCCAUUAGUGAU